rnacentral:rRNA from 1 species
UACAUGGGGUGCAAACGUUGCUCGGAAUCAUUGGGCGUAAAGCGUCUGUAGGUGGUCAAAUAAGUCAACUGUUAAAUCUUGAGGCUCAACCUCAAAAUCGCAGUCGAAACUAUUAGACUAGAGUAUAGUAGGGGUAAAGGGAAUUUCCAGUGGAGCGGUGAAAUGCGUAGAGAUUGGAAAGAACACCGAUGGCGAAGGCACUUUACUGGGCUAUUACUAACACUCAGAGACGAAAGCUAGGGUAGCAAAUGGG